rnacentral:tRNA from 1 species
GCUGCCUUAGCUCAAUUGGUAGAGCGCCGCUUUCGUAAUGCGGAGGUUAACGGUUCGAGUCCGUUAGGCAGCUC